rnacentral:rRNA from 1 species
GAUGAACGCUGGCUACAGGCUUAACACAUGCAAGUCGAGGGGAAACGACGGGGAAGCUUGCUUCCCCGGGCGUCGACCGGCGCACGGGUGAGUAACGCGUAUCCAACCUGCCUCUGACUGAGGUAUAACCCGUCGAAAGUCGGCCUAAUACCUCAUGGCAUCGUCUGCGGGCAUCCAACGACGAUUAAAGAUUUCAUCGGUCAGGGAUGGGGAUGCGGCUGAUUAGCUAGUUGGCGGGGUAACGGCCCACCAAGGCGACGAUCAGUAGGGGUUCUGAGCGGAAGGGCCCCCACAUGGGAACUGGGACACGGGCCAAACUCAUACGGGAGGCAGUAGUGAGGAAGACUGGUGAAUGGGCGAGAGCCUGAACCAGCCAAGUAGCGUGCAGGAUGACGGCCCUAUGGGUUGUAAACUGCUUUUAGGAGGCGAUAAAGUGAGGGACGUGUCCGUGAUUGAAGGUACCGCAUGAAGAAGGACCGGCUAAUUCCGUG